rnacentral:rRNA from 1 species
CAAAGGUUCUCUCAGUACGGUCGGAAAUCGUACGUAGAGUGUAAAGGCAAAAGAGAGCUUGAUUGCAAGACAUACAGGUCGAGCAAGGAUGAAAAUCGGACUUAGUGAUCCGGUGGUUCUGCGUGGAAGGGCCAUCGCUCAACGGAUAAAAGCUACCCUGGGGAUAACAGGCUUAUCUCCCCCAAGAGUCCACAUCGACGGGGCGGUUUGGCACCUCGAUGUCGGCUCAUCACAUCCUGGGGCUGUAGUAGGUCCCAAGGGUUGGGCUGUUCGCCCAUUAAAGUGGUACGCGAGCUGGGUUCAGAACGUCGUGAGACAGUUCGGUCCCUAUCCGUCGCAGGCGUAGGAAAUUUGAGAAGACCUGUCCUUAGUACGAGAGGACCGGGAUGGACGUACCUCUGGUGUACCAGUUGUUCUGCCAAGGGCAUGGCUGGGUAGCUAUGUACGGAAUGGAUAAGCGCUGAAAGCAUCUAAGCGCGAAGCCAACUUCAAGAUAAGAUUUCCCACCG